rnacentral:rRNA from 1 species
UACGAAGGGGGCUAGCGUUGUUCGGAAUUACUGGGCGUAAAGCGCGCGCAGGCGGCUAUCCAAGUCAGUGGUGAAAGCCCGGAGCUCAACUCCGGAACUGCCAUUGAAACUGUUUAGCUUGAGGAUGAGAUAGGUGAGUGGAAUUCCCAGUGUAGAGGUGAAAUUCGUAGAUAUUGGGAAGAACACCGGUGGCGAAGGCGCUCUACUGGACCACAACUGACACUCAGGGACGAAAGCUAGGGGAGCGAAUGGG